GAUGAACGCUGGCGGCGUGCUUAACACAUGCAUGUCGAACGGUGAAGGCGGAGCUUGCUCUGCUGGAUCAGUGGCGAACGGGUGAGUAACACGUGAGCAAUCUGCCCCUGACUCUGGGAUAAGCGCUGGAAACGGCGUCUAAUACUGGAUACGAGCUGCGAAGGCAUCUUCAGCAGCUGUAAAGAACUUCGGUCAGGGAUGAGCUCGCGGCCUAUCAGCUUGUUGGUGAGGUAACGGCUCACCAAGGCGUCGACGGGUAGCCGGCCUGAGAGGGUUACCGGCCACACUGGGACUGAGACACGGCCCAGACUCCUACGGGAGGCAGCAGUGGGGAAUAUUGCACAGUGGGCGAAAGCCUGAUGCAGCAACGCCGCGUGAGGGACGACGGCCUUCGGGUUGUAAACCUCUUUGAGCAGGGAAGAAGCGAAAGUGACGGUACCUGCAGAAAAAGCGCCGGCUAACUACGUG
rnacentral:rRNA from 1 species